GAUCCGGCUCAGGAUGAACGCUAGCUACAGGCUUAACACAUGCAAGUCGAGGGGCAUCAGUUUGGUUUGCUUGCAAACCAAAGCUGGCGACCGGCGCACGGGUGAGUAACACGUAUCCAACCUGCCUCAUACUCGGGGAUAGCCUUUCGAAAGAAAGAUUAAUAUCCGAUAGCAUAUAUUUCCCGCAUGGGUUUUAUAUUAAAGAAAUUCGGUAUGAGAUGGGGAUGCGUUCCAUUAGUUUGUUGG
rnacentral:rRNA from 1 species